rnacentral:rRNA from 1 species
UGGCGAAUGAACAGGGGAGAGUUCAGAAUGGAAAUCUGGGCCAUCGGCCCUGAGUUGUAAUCCUCAGAUGUGCAUCCAAAGGUGGCGCAGGGGUAGGUCUUCUGGAAGAGAGCAUCGUUGAGGGUGACAAUCCCGUCAUUUCGUCCUGUAGCCCGCCUUGCACGGUGUACUCUCCAUGAGUCACGUUCCUUGGGACUGGAGCGCAAAUUGGGUGGUAGGUUUCAUCCACAGCUGAAUAUUUGUCUGAGCCCGAUAGCGAACAAGUACCAUGAGGGAAAGGUGAAAAGGACUUUGGAAAGAGAGUUAGAAGUACCUGAAUUUGCUGAAGUGGAAGGGGAUGGAAGCAAACACCUUGGAAAGAUUGUUGCACAUUCUGGAGUGAACUUGCAGCGCCAGCGUGACCAGCCCUGCAAGUGUGAUGCCAAUCGUGUGUGAUGUUAUCUGCUGAGGGCAGCAAUGUCAAUUCCUGGCCGAGGAGACAUACCAGGGCCUGGUCAUUUACCACCGGUAAGCAAACUGCGUUCACCUGUACUCGUUGAGGGAUUGGAAAGCGAGUCUCUGUUCAUCAGCAUGGCCGCCAGUACAUUGGACACAUGAUUCCAUCUGACCCGUCUUGAAACACGGACCAAGGAGUCUAACACAUGUGCAAGCUCGUUGGUGGGGAAACCUGCUUCCGCAAUGAAAGUGACUGCUGCGAGAAUCUAGCAACAGCAACCGACCGUCCGAGUGAGGAUGGUUUGAGUGUGAGCAUGUCUGUUAGGACCCGAAAGAUGGUGAACUAUGCCUGUGCAGGGUCAGCCCAGGGGAAACUCUGGUGGAGGCUCGUAGCGGUACUGACGUGCAAAUCGUUCGUCAAACAUGGGUAUAGGGGCGAAAGACUAAUCGAACCAUCUAGUAGCUGGUCCCCUCCGAAGUUUCCCUCAGGAUAGCUGGAGUUGAGCAGUUGUAUCAGGUAAAGCGAAUGAUUGGAGGAAUCGGGGACAUCCCGUCCUCGACCUACUCUCAAACUUUAAAUGGGUAUGAUCUACUGGUUGCUUGUGUGAACUUGUGGGAUAAAUGACAACUCCAAGUGGGCCACUUUUGGUAAGCAGAACUGGCGAUGAGGGAUGAACCUAACGUUGAGUUAAGGUGCUGAACUGCUCGCUCAUCAGAUACCAUAAAGGGUGUUGGUUCAUUUGAACAGCAGGACGGUGGUCAUGGAAGUCGAAAUCCGCUAAGGAGUGUGUAACAACUCACCUGCCGAAUGGACUAGCCCCAAAAAUGGAUGGCGCUCAAGCGAGUGACUGAUACUCAACCAUUG